rnacentral:rRNA from 1 species
AGCAUAUCAAUAAGCGGAGGAAAAGAAACUAACAAGGAUUCCCCUAGUAACGGCGAGUGAAGCGGGAAGAGCUCAAAUUUGUAAUCUGGCCCUUUCAGGGUCCGAGUUGUAAUCUCGAGAAGUGUUUUCCGCGCCGGACCGCAUACAAGUCUGUUGGAAUACAGCGUCAUAGUGGUGAGAGCCCCGUAAUUGAUGUGGAUGCCCGGUGCUUUGUGAUACACUUUCGAAGAGUCGAGUUGUUUGGGAAUGCAGCUCAAAUUGGGUGGUAAAUUCCAUCUAAAGCUAAAUAUUGGCGAGAGACCGAUAGCGAACAAGUACCGUGAGGGAAAGAUGAAAAGCACUUUGGAAAGAGAGUUAACAGUACGUGAAAUUGUUGGAAGGGAAACGCUUGAAGUCAGACUUGCUAUUCGGAAUUCAGCCGCAAGGUGUACUUUUCGAUUUGCAGGCCAGCAUCAGUUUUUGGGGGUGGAAAAGGGUGGAGAGAAGGUAGCAACCUUGGUUGUGUUAUAGCUCUUUACUGGAUUCAUCUUUGGGGACUGAGGAUCGCAGUGCGCAAUUUACUUUGCAAACCUUUCGAGGUUUUCGUACUUAGGAUGCUGGUGGAAUGGCUUUAAACGACCCGUCUUGAAACACGGACCAAGGAGUCUAACAUGCUUGCGAGUGUUUGGGUGUCAAACCCGAACGCGCAAUGAAAGUGAAUGGAGGUGGGAUCCGCAAGGUGCACCAUCGACCGAUCUGGAUUUUCUAAGAUGGAUUUGAGUAAGAGCAAUUAUGUUGGGACCCGAAAGAUGGUGAACUAUGCCUGAAUAGGGCGAAGCCAGAGGAAACUCUGGUGGAGGCUCGUAGCGGUUCUGACGUGCAAAUCGAUCGUCAAAUUUGGGUAUAGGGGCGAAAGACUAAUCGAACCAUCUAGUAGCUGGUUCCUGCCGAAGUU